rnacentral:rRNA from 1 species
UACGUAGGUGGCAAGCGUUAUCCAGAAUUACUGGGCGUAAAGCGCACGCAGGCGGUCUUUUAAGUUUGACGUGAAAGCUCCCGGCUUAACUGGGAGAGGUCGUUGAAGACUGGAAGACUUGAGGCAAUGAGAGGGGUGUAGAAUUCCCGGUGUAGUGGUGGAAUGCGUAGAUAUCGGGGGGAAUACCAGUGGCGAAAGCGGCACCCUAGCGUUAGCCUGACGCUCAUGUGCGAAAGCGUGGGGAGCGAACGGG